GACGGAGGAUGCAAGCGUUAUCCGGAAUUAUUGGGCGUAAAGCGUCCGCAGGUGGCUGUUCAAGUCUGCUGUCAAAGCGCAGAGCUUAACUCUGUACAGGCGGUGGAAACUGAAGAGCUAGAGUAUGGUAGGGGUAGAGGGAAUUCCCGGUGUAGCGGUGAAAUGCGUAGAUAUCGGGAAGAACACCAGUGGCGAAAGCGCUCUACUGGGCCAUAACUGACACUGAGGGACGAAAGCGUGGGGAGCGAUCCGG
rnacentral:rRNA from 1 species